UAAGUUUCAACAACGGAUCUCUUGGCUCUCGCAUCGAUGAAGAACGCAGCGAAAUGCGAUAAGUAAUGUGAAUUGCAGAAUUCAGUGAAUCAUCGAAUCUUUGAACGCACCUUGCGCUCCUUGGUAUUCCUUGGAGCAUGCCUGUUUGAGUAUCAUG
rnacentral:rRNA from 4 species